AUAGAGUAUCUACAAAAGAUUAAGGAUCUUGCCUCCAACUUCACCACUAUGAGCAUCCAACAAAUACCGAGGAUGGAGAAUGUGCGGACUAAUCUCCUCUCAAAGCUCACAACACUCGGUGUGGUCGAUGUGAAAAGAAACUCAUAUCUUGAACCCUUAAGAAGCUAAGCAUUGAAGAAUCUUCUAUGAUAUAGACAGAACCUAAG
rnacentral:lncRNA from 1 species